GAGCAUGUGGUUUAAUUCGAUGCAACGCGAAGAACCUUACCUACUCUUGACAUCCAGAGAAUUCGCUAGAGAUAGCUUAGUGCCUUCGGGAACUCUGAGACAGGUGCUGCAUGGCUGUCGUCAGCUCGUGUUGUGAAAUGUUGGGUUAAGUCCCGCAACGAGCGCAACCCUUAUCCUUGUUUGCCAGCACAUAAUGGUGGGAACUCCAGGGAGACUGCCGGUGAUAAACCGGAGGAAGGUGGGGACGACGUCAAGUCAUCAUGGCCCUUACGAGUAGGGCUACACACGUGCUACAAUGGCGUAUACAGAGGGCUGCAAACUAGCGAUAGUAAGCGAAUCCCACAAAGUACGUCGUAGUCCGGAUUGGAGUCUGCAACUCGACUCCANGAAGUNNGAANCGCUA
rnacentral:rRNA from 1 species